rnacentral:rRNA from 1 species
CGUAGGGGGCGAGCGUUGUCCGGAAUUACUGGGCGUAAGGGCGCGUAGGCGGUCUAAUAAGUCAGAUGUGAAACCCCCGGGCUUAACCCUGGGCUUGCAUUUGAAACUGUUGGACUUGAGGACAGGAGAGGAAAGCGGAAUUCCCAGUGUAGCGGUGAAAUGCGUAGAUAUUGGGAGGAACACCAGUGGCGAAGGCGGCUUUCUGGACUGCCCCUGACGCUGAGGCGCGAAAGCCAGGGGUAGCGAACGGGGAUU